UACGUAGGGUGCGAGCGUUAAUCGGAAUUACUGGGCGUAAAGCGUGCGCAGGCGGUUCGUUAAGUCAGAUGUGAAAGCCCCGGGCUCAACCUGGGAACUGCAUUUGAAACUGGCGGGCUUGAGUAUGGCAGAGGGGGGUGGAAUUCCGCGUGUAGCAGUGAAAUGCGUAGAGAUGCGGAGGGACACCGAUGGCGAAGGCAGCCCCCUGGGCCAAUACUGACGCUCAGGCACGAAAGCGUGGGGAGCAAACAGG
rnacentral:rRNA from 1 species